CAGUCGAACGAGCUUCCGUUGAAUGACGUGCUUGCACUGAUUUCAACAAUGAAGCGAGUGGCGAACUGGUGAGUAACACGUGGGGAAUCUGCCCAGAAGCAGGGGAUAACACUUGGAAACAGGUGCUAAUACCGUAUAACAACAAAAUCCGCAUGGAUUUUGUUUGAAAGGUGGCUUCGGCUAUCACUUCUGGAUGAUCCCGCGGCGUAUUAGUUAGUUGGUGAGGUAAAGGCCCACCAAGACGAUGAUACGUAGCCGACCUGAGAGGGUAAUCGGCCACAUUGGGACUGAGACACGGCCCAAACUCCUACGGGAGGCAGCAGUAGGGAAUCUUCCACAAUGGACGAAAGUCUGAUGGAGCAAUGCCGCGUGAGUGAAGAAGGGUUUCGGCUCGUAAAACUCUGUUGUUAAAGAAGAACACCUUUGAGAGUAACUGUUCAAGGGUUGACGGUAUUUAACCAGAAAGCCACGGCUAACUACGUGCCAGCAGCCGCGGUAAUACGUAGGUGGCAAGCGUUGUCCGGAUUUAUUGGGCGUAAAGCGAGCGCAGGCGGUUUUUUAAGUCUGAUGUGAAAGCCUUCGGCUUAACCGGAGAAGUGCAUCGGAAACUGGGAGACUUGAGUGCAGAAGAGGACAGUGGAACUCCAUGUGUAGCGGUGGAAUGCGUAGAUAUAUGGAAGAACACCAGUGGCGAAGGCGGCUGUCUAGUCUGUAACUGACGCUGAGGCUCGAAAGCAUGGGUAGCGAACAGGAUUAGAUACCCUGGUAGUCCAUGCCGUAAACGAUGAGUGCUAAGUGUUGGAGGGUUUCCGCCCUUCAGUGCUGCAGCUAACGCAUUAAGCACUCCGCCUGGGGAGUACGACCGCAAGGGUUGAAACUCAAAGGAAUUGACGGGG
rnacentral:rRNA from 1 species